UUUGUCUCUAUCAUAGAGCCCACUAAGGUAGAUGAAGCAUUUUUGGAGCCGGAGUGGAUUCAGGCUAUGCAAGAAGAAUUACAUCAGUUCGAGCUCAACAAUGUCUGGGAACUGGUCGAACGUCCAGAUCCUCGCAAGCAUAGUAUCAUUGGCACAAAGUGGAUCUACUACAACAAGCAAGAUGAAAAUGGCCUUGUGGUAAGGGAUAAGGCACGACUGGUAGCUCAAGGCUACACACAGGUUGAAGGAAUUGAUUUCGAUGAAACUUUUGCACCUGUUGCUAGACUUGAGGCUAUUUGCAUAUUACUUGCUUAUGCUAAUCAUCAUGAUAUCAUCUUAUAUCAAAUGGAUGUGAAAAGUGCAUUCCUCAAUGGUAAGCUUGAGGAAGAAGUAUAUGUUGCUCAACCCCCAGGUUUUGAAGAUCCAAAGAAUCCUGACAAAGUCUUCAAACUUAAUAAGGCCCUAUAUGGCCUCAAGCAAGCCCCUCGAGCGUGGUAUGAUACAUUGAAGGAAUUCUUCGUGAAGAAUGGCUUCACACCCGGUUCACUCGACCCUACUCUCUUUACUAAAUCUUAUGAUGGUGAACUGUUUGUGUGCCAAAUAUAUGUUGAUGAUAUUAUCUUUGGUUGUACUGACCAACGUUAUAGUGAUGAAUUUGCCUAUAUGAUGAGUGAAGAAUAUCAAAUGUCUAUGAUGGGAGAGUUGAAAUUCUUCUUCGGUCUUCAAAUUCAUCAACAGCGCAAUGGCAUAUUCAUAUCUCAGGAGAAAUACCUCAAAGAUAUACUGAGGAAAUUCGGCAUGCAAGAUUGCAAAGGCGUCAAAAUUCCUAUGCCCACAAAAGGCCAUCUAUGCACUGAUGAAAAUGGUAUUGACGUCGAUCACAAGGUAUACCGC
rnacentral:rRNA from 1 species